GAGAUAACUGGAGACAGGCAGGAAAAAGGACCCUGGUCCCCAUGGCCCUACUGCGGUAUACUUGUCCCGAUAUUCCCACACUUGCACCUCUAAUUGAGAUUCUGAUUCUAAAUAUUGGCUUGUGUCACUUGACACCCAUUCAACCAAAUGAAACAAACCUGUAAUUGACUAGAGAACAUCGCUGAGUAGCAUUAGUGAUAAAUGAAAAUGUUUCUCAAAUGAAUUACCUGAGAAUCUUAUAGGCAAUGAUGAAGAAAAUGAGUCAUUAAAUAGAUAAGCGUAAUGCUGAAGAAGCAGAAUAUUUGCAUAUUAAAGCCAUCAUCAUGUGAAGGUAAAAGAUAAUCAAAUCAGAUUAACUUAUCCACCGUCUGUCUGACUUGUGAA
rnacentral:lncRNA from 1 species